GGCUCACCACGAGGCACACCUGAGCACAAGCAGUUUUGCAGGCAUGAGAAAUCACAGUGAGAGCAACGCUAUGCAGCGUGUAGUGUAAAUAUCCGUGAUGGCGAGAAGAAAGACCCCGAUGAUCUUCACAGCGGACCUCACUAUCAGCUGCAGGGUCUUGCGAUCCAAGAUGGUGCAAUUUCUGAACCAGGCAGUGAUGCAGCUGCUUGGGAUGCUCUCAAUACAACCCCUGUAGAAUGUGAUGAGGAUGAGGGAUGGGAGAUGGACUUUCCUCAGCCUUCGCAGAAAGUAGAGACGCUGCUAGACUUUCCUUGCUAUGGAGCUGGUGUUGAGGGACCAGGUGAGAUUCUCCGCCAGGUGAACACUGAGAAAUGUGGUGCUCAUAAUAAUCUCUACCGAAGAGCAGUCGAUGUUCAGCGGGGAGUGGUCACUCCAUGCCCACCUGAAGUCAACAACUAUCUCUUUUGUUUUGUUCACAUUAAGAGACAGGUUGUUGGCUCUGCACCAGUCCGUUAGCCGCUGCAUUUCCUCUCUGUAAGCUGACUCGUCGUUCUUGCUGAUGAGACCCACCACGGCUGUGUCAUCGGCGAACUUGGUGAUGUGGUUCGAGCUGUGUGUUGCAGCACAGUCAUGGAUCAGUAGAGUGAACAACUGUGGACUAGGCACACAGCCCUGGGGGGCCCCUGUGCACAGUGUGAUGGUGUUGGAGAUAUUACUCCUGAUCCAGACUGACUGAGGUUUCCCAGUCAGGAAGUCUAGGAUCCAGUUGCAGAGGGAGGUGUUCAGGCCCAGUGGGCUCAGCUUUCUGACAAAGGGUCUCAGCCUGAAACGUCGAUAGUGCUUCUCCUUAUAGAUGCUGCCUGGCCUGCUGUGUUCCACCAGUAUUUUGUAUGUGAGGCUCAUCUUUCCAAUCAGUUUCUGGGGGAUGAUUGUGUUGAAUGCUAAACUGAAGUCUAUGAACAGCAUUCAAACGUACAAAUGAUCACAACUCUAAGUUUUAAGAUGGGGAAAGGAAUAGGCAAUCAGAGAGCACUUGGCUCUUGUGACCAAAAUUCUAUUAGUUUUAAGAGUGAUGGAAAGACAGGAGAGAUCCUUUACAGGCCAGUCAGCCUGACAUCUGUAUUGGGGAAGUUAUUGGAAAGGAUUCUAAGGGAUAGGUGACAGUCCUUACUAAAACUGUCAAAAACAUUAUGAUGCCCCUGAUGCCAACAGGGUCUCAGGUCUAAGUCUCCUGAAUCUAAGUACUACCUUCAGCACAAUUGACCACAACAUCCUCCUAGAUCACCUUGAGAACCAGGUAGGCCUCUUUGGUAAUGCCCUUAAUUGGUUUUACUCACAUAGCUCAGAGGGAAGUUUUGCUAAGAGAUAUGAUGUUCUUUUGGUGUUGUUCAGGGUAGCUGUCUUGGCCGCCUACUCUUCUCCUUAUACAUGUUCCCCAUUAGAAAACAUAAACCUGAUUCCCACAGUUACGCAGAUGACACACAGUUGUAUAUCCUGGUCAAGCCUGAUGAUGAUAACACCCUAUCUUCUCUGACUUCUCAUAUGGCUGCAAUAAACAAAUGGAUGAGCAAUCGUUACAAGUAUUAACCCUCAAUAAUAAUGAUCAGUAAGGCACAGGGAGAAUCUGUAUUUCCUGAUGUACCUUUGUUGUCUCAAUUAACAAACACAUGAAUUUACAAAACUAGAUACUUGUGUGCACAAUCACUAGGUUUCCUUGACCCUCUUGAACAGUCAAAGAAGAGAAAAGGUAAUACCCAGGAAAAGAAAUCUACACUGGCCAGGCAUUCUCCUUGAUCCGGACAUAAUCUCCAUAUUUCUGAUGUGGGCUAUCCACUUCAGCGAUGGUUGGUCCCCAAUAGAGUUGUUGUUGCCUGUUCUCCUGUAAUUCUCCAUUCUUAUUCUUUUCCUUAUUAGAUCAAUCUAUAAUAUAUCAAUUUGUUUGCUCAAGCUCAUUUGACAUGUGGCCCAGUGAUCCUCUGAUUGAAUGUGGCCCAAGGCUACAAGCAGUAUUGCUUUAUGGCUCCAGACAUUUGCCCUAGGUCCUGUCUUUGGUUCUUUCCAACACAGUCCAGUUCAACCACUCCAACCAGGUCAGCCAAGCAUUGAACGGAGAUGACCAGAUUAUAGGUUGUUCCUUGUACAAGCUUGUUAUGUACAUAAUAAAUAGCUUCUUAUCUGAAAAUGGUCUGAGAUUUAAUAGAUCAUUAGCAGAAACUCGUUGUGUCCCCAUUCAGUUGCUCCAAUUCAUCUGUCCCUGCCGAAGAACCAGUUCACCAGACAGUUCACAAAAUGGCAGCUGCAAGGACAGUCUCACAAAAUGGCUGCUUCCCUCACUGCAACCAUAUGGCAAGAACAAAGACUUAUGCGUUGUCUGUUUCCACUGGCCUUGCCUCAUUCCUAUUUGCUGAUUUGCAGAUUCUAGUUCUUUCUGGCCAACACAAUAACUUCCGAAAAUCAAAUGAAGUUAAAACUGAAAUACUUUAAAUUGGCCCUAAAGCCAAGAGGUAAUUUCUUGAUAAACUUGGGAACUUGGCUCCCCUUGUAAAAGCAGAAGUAAAGAAGCCUGGGUGUUAUCCUUGAAUCAAAUUUAAAUUUCAAUACCAGAUCAGCAUUUCUACACAAGAAGUAUUGCAAAGGUAUGUCUGUUUCUGUCAUGUAAUAACACUGAAAAAUUAAUUCAUGCCUUUGUAUCAAAUAGACUACGGUACUGUAGACUCUGGAAUGUUUUUAUUGGCCUUCCAAAGCAAUCUGUUAAUAAACCUCAACUCAUUCAGAAUACUGCUAAAGUCAGGAUAAAUUCUGUCCUAAGUACCCUACAUUGGCUUCCUGUAUCUCUUAGAAUUUAUUUUAAAGUUCUCUUAUUUGCAUUUAAAGCUAUCAAUGUUCUGGGACUAGAGUACAUCAUAAAAAAACUUUUGUUUUAUAAUCCUGCUCAAGAUCUUUGGUCUUCUACCGCUCAUCUCUUAAAUUUGAACAAUCUCCCUCAAAAGAAAAUUGGCAGGUUAUUUUGUUUUUUAACUAUGCUCCUAAACUGUAAAACUCAAUACCCAAAAUGAUCUGGAAGAGGCUUAACAAGACGCUGACUGGAUUUGAGGGCAUGUGCAAUAAAGAGAGGUUGAACAAUCAUGAAUUGUUUUCUCUGGAGUGAAAGAGGCAAAACAGACAGACAGACAGACUUUAUUGAUCCCGAGGGAAAUUGGGUUUCAUUACAGCCGCACCACCAAGAAUAGUGAAGAAAUAUAGCAAUAUAAAACCAUAAAUAAUUAAAUAAUAAAUAAUUAAUAAUACAAUACAAUUAAUAAUUAAUACUAGUUAUUACAAUUAUGAGAGUCUUAGGCUGAGUAGACAGCUGGUAUCUUUUACCCAGGGUUGAAAUGUCCAAUAACAGAGGGCAUGAAUUUAAGGUGAGAGGGGGUAUGUUCAAAGGAGAUGUAUGGGGCAGGAUUUCUUUAAACACAGGGAGUGAAGGGUGCCUGACAUGCAUGUCAGGGGUGUUGGUAGAAACAGAUAUGAUUCAAGAGCCUGUCAUUUAAGAGGGACUUGGAAAGACACUUGAAUGUGCAGAGAAUGGAGAUGUAUGGAUCAAGAUCAACCAGAAGGAAUUAGUUUAAUUAUUUGUCAUCAGCUUAAUUAGUUCAGCACAAACUCUGAGGGAUGCAUCUAUACCUUGUCACAUUUAGCUUUUCAACAAAUUACCAUCAGAAACAGAGCUUUUAUGUAGUUAAGCAAGAAUCGAAACAUAGACCUUUCAAAAGGGAGUUCCCCAUGAGCACUGCAUCCUACAAUAUCUUCUGUAAAUCUUAGAAGAAGAGAUUGUUAUCUUGAAAAGUCAUUCUUGUAUAUGCUUAGUUUUAGAUUAGUACAGACUAUUACAGUUGUGUAAUCUGGGAACUUGAUAUUGAUAAGCCUAACUACUGCAUGUGCUGCCUCAUCCAACAUUGAAGUAUCAUAGGAUCACAGAGCUGUACAGUGUAGAAAUAUGCCUUUGGGCCCAGCAUUCACGCCGACUGUGAUGACUAUCUAUGCAAAUCCCAUUUACAUGCUUUUGGCUUGUAUCCAACUCUCUUUCUGACUAAGUGCCAGUUCAAAUGCCUUGUAACACAUACAAAGUACUGGAGGAACUCAGUAGUUCAGGCAGCUAUGGAAAUGUAUGAACAGUCAAUGUUUUGGGUCGAGACCCUUCUUCAGUUCUGGGAGGGAAGGGAGAAGAUGCUGGAAUAAAAAGAGGGGAAGGAGGGCUAGCUAGAAUAUGAUAAUUGAAGCCAGGUGUAUGGGAAGGUAAAGGGUGGAGAAGAAGAAAUCUGUAAGAGAGGAGAGUGGACUAUAGGAGAAAGGGAAGAAGGAGGGGCACCAGGGGAGAUGAUAGACAGGUGAGAAGAGGUAAGGAGCCAGACUGAUGAAUAGAAAAAGAGGGAAGGGGAAGGGGAAGAAAUACUGGAAGGAGAAAUCAAUUUUCAUGCCAUCCAGUUGAGUAUACUGAGACAGCAAAUGAACUGUUGUUCCUCCACACUAGGAGUGACCUCAUUGUGGCAGAAGAAGAGGCUAUGGACUGACACGUCAAGACAGGAAUGGGAUAGGAAUUAAAAUGGUCGGUCACUGAGAAAUUCUACUUUUGGCAGAUGGAGAGCUUACAAUAAGUUGUAAUUGUUAUUGUCACUUCCACUGUCAGCUUAUUACAUAUGAAAUAUACAGUAUAUCAGUUAUUGUUUUCAUCUAUAGCUCUCACCAAUGUAGCCAAAUCUAUCAUUGACCACCCUUGCAAAUCUUAUUUGGUCUUAUGGGCCAAGCACGGGCAACUGGGACGAGCUUGGUUAGGCACCUUGGUCAGUAUAGAUAAGUUGGUCUGAAAGGCCUGUUCUGUGCUGUAGAGCCCAAAGGAAGCCUAGAAAACUUUGUGUGAGGCAUUACAUUACGAGGAAAAACCAGGGUAGGAUUUACAUAGUGAGCAGUAAGCUACUGAGGAGUGCAGUAGAACAGAGAGAUCUUGGAAUAUGGAUCCAUAAUUUCUUGAAAGUGGUGUCAAAGUAAAUAGUGUCAUAAAGAGAGUUCUUGGCACAUUGACCAUAAAUCCAAGUAUUAAGUACGGGAGUUAGGAUGCUAUGUUGACGAUGUAUAAGACAUUGUUGAGGCCUAAUCUGGAGUAUUGUGUGCAGUUCCAGUCACCUUCCUAUAAGAAAGGUAUAAAUAAGACUAAAAGCAUGCAGAGAAAACUUACAAGGAUAUUGCUAGGAGUUGAGGACCUGAGUUAUAGAGCUAAGGUGGAAGGUGAAAUCUUUAAGGGGAACAUGAGGGAGCCCUUCUUCACUCAGAGGGUGGUAAGAGUGUGGAAUGAGCUGCCAGUGGAAGUGAUAGAUUUAGGUUUGAUUUCGACAUUUAAGAAAAUUUGGAAAGUACAUGAAUGGGAGAAAUGUGGGGGAGGGGUGAACAGCUGUUGUCUGGGUGCAGGUUGGUGGGACUAGGCAGAUUAAUAGUUUGGCACAUACCAGACUGUCCGGAGAGCCAUUUCCUGUGAUGUAGUGUUCUAGCAUACUAAAUCCCCAAUUUCCUUAAAACCUUACUGUCAUUCUGGAUAUUUGUGGUGAUUAGCAAAUGACCUUAAUGAGAUGAACAAUGAAUAGAGAAGCUUUCAGAUGGUAUGGAUUGAUUCUGUUCCCUGAGGAAGCCUCGUCUGUGACCUGCUGUUUCUCUGAGUGCUUUAACAGUCUUGCUAUUAAACCAAGAAACAAAAAUUUCAUUCAACUAUUCGUCUUACUUAUCUGCCAUAUAACAUAGGAGUUCAGCAGCAUCACAUUCCCAAUAAAUAAACUGAAGAAAGGUUAAAGUGGCAAGUUCACAUUAAUCAGAUAAUGGCAGCAGUUUUAGAAAGUUGAUGAUAUUCACUUUGAAAUAUUGUUUUCAGCAUUAGGAUGUAGUAUGCUGGAUAGAGUUAGCUUUGCAAGAGGCAAAGUAGAGAUUUAUUAAUCUUUCACUUUGUGCUUAAAAUAGGGUUAAUUGUUCAACUAGUAAAUAAAAGUACAAUCAUAGAAACAGGAGCAAGAGUAGGCCACAUAGCCCUUUAGAUCUGCUGCACAAUUCAACACUAUUAUGACUGAUCACCCCAUUCAGCCAUCUGCUUCUGCUUUUAAGGGGUCACUUAAAGAGUUCCGUCCAAGCAUUGUAACUCCUGUGAUUCAGGUCAUUGCGCAGGGUGAUGUCAUUGGGAGAAAUGUACAUAAUUCACAACCACUGACACUGAGCUGGGGCUUCAGUGGCUGGUCUGAUGUGAUGACGUUUUUACAUAAAGAGUUUCGGCACACUUUUGUUGUGUGGGUUUUGGAGUUCAAUAAAAUGUGUUACAUGUUU